GCAAAGUAUACCAGUCAAGUAUAAUAAGCUGGAAGUUCAUACACAGAUGCGCCAAACUCCAGUAUAUUAUGCCGGACCGAUCUCUGUUGCAGCAAAAUAGUGGCUAUUUUUCAAUGACUUGGCAAACGCUGGCUAUUUUUAAUGACCAGUUCGAAAACUGGCUAGCCCGUGCUAUUUUUACAAAAUAUACUUAUCUAAAAAUUAAACCAAAACCAUAUUUAGAUAGCCCAUAUUUGUGUAUGUAUAUAGAAUUAUAGAUGGCCCAUAUUUGUGCAUGUAUAUAGUUCUAAUGGAAAAAUUAAACAUCAAGAUUCGGAUCUUUUAAAGACAUGAAAACGUAAAGGUAACUUCACCAUCUUCAGGCACUCAUUACAUAGUACCUAUACAAAGGUAAAGUUCCUAAAAAAGACAGUGAGAUAGUAAGUCUAUCAUGCAUUUACAUAACUCCAAUUUGGAGAAAACAAAACAAGACAAAAACUAAAUACUUCCAUGAUUAAGCAGAUUACUCUAACUUACUCCAUCACCAUUGACUUCCUAGUUUUUGAUAACAGAAAAAAUCCCCGAGGGCAGGUGGUGCAUGGUUUGAAACUUGGUGGAUAAUGAGGUCGCCCUUCUAGUCUUAUCCACUUAAGUCUAUCAUGCAUUUACAUAACUCCAAUUUGGAGAAAACAAAACAAGACAAAAACUAAAUACUUCCAUGAUUAAGCAGAUUACUCUAACUUACUCCAUCACCAUUGACUUCCUAGUUUUUGAUAACAGAAAAAAUCCCCGAGGGCCGGUGGUGCAUGGUUUGAAACUUGGUGGAUAAUGAGGUCGCCCUUCUAGUCUUAUCCACUUAAAUAUAAGGCUUUUACCUGUGGCAGGUUUGAAAAACAUGACAUGCGCCUAAUCUACACACCAUGUGCUACUCUCUUACCACUAGACCAAACAGUUAGGGGUUCAUCAUUGAUUACCUAUUUACAAGCUACUUUUUACCUUUGUCGUUAACAUUUUAACCUCCUCCGUUAGGCUUAUGGAAACUAG
rnacentral:lncRNA from 1 species